rnacentral:rRNA from 1 species
GAUGAACGCUGGCGGCGUGCCUAAUACAUGCAAGUCGAACGAACAGACGAGGAGUUUGCUCCUCUGUCGUUAGCGGCGGACGGGUGAGUAACACGUGGAUCACCUACCUAUAAGACUGGGAUAACUUCGGGACACCGGAGCUAAUACCUGAUAAUCUAUUGAACCGCAUGGUUCAAUAGUUAAAGACGGUUUUGCUGCUACUUAUUGAUGAUUCCGCGCCGCAUUAGCUAGUUGGUAAGGUAACGGCUUACCAAGGCGACGAUGCGUAGGCGACCUGAGAGGGUGAUCGGCCACACUGGAACUGAGACACGGUCCAGACUCCUACGGGUGGCAGCAGUAGGGAAUCUUCCGCAAUGAGCGAAAGCCGGACGGAGCAGCGCCGCGUGAGUGAUGAAGGUCUUCGGAUCGUAAAACUCUGUUAUUAGGGAAGAACAAAUGUGUAAGUAACUAUGCACGUCUUGACGGUACCUAAACAGAAAGCCACGGCUAACUACGUG